rnacentral:rRNA from 1 species
UACAGAGGAUGCAAGCGUUAUCCGGAAUGAUUGGGCGUAAAGCGUCUGUAGGUGGCUUUUUAAGUCCGCCGUCAAAUCCCGAGGGCCUCAACUCUGGACAGGCGGUGGAAACUACCAAGCUGGAGUACGGUAGGGGCAGAGGGAAUUUCCGGUGGAGCGGUGAAAUGCGUAGAGAUCGGAAAGAACACCAACGGCGAAAAGCACUCUGCU